UACGGGGGGGGCAAGCGUUGUUCGGAAUUACUGGGCGUAAAGGGCUCGUAGGUGGCCAACUAAGUCAGACGUGAAAUCCCUCGGCUUAACCGGGGAACUGCGUCUGAUACUGGAUGGCUUGAGCUUGGGAGAGGGACGCGGAAUUCCAGGUGUAGCGGUGAAAUGCGUAGAUAUCUGGAGGAACACCGGUGGCGAAGGCGGCGUCCUGGACCAACACUGACACUGAGGAGCGAAAGCCAGGGGAGCAAACGGG
rnacentral:rRNA from 1 species